GAUGAACGCUGACAGAGUGCUUAACACAUGCAAGUCAACUGGAACUUCGGUGUGGGUGGCGGACGGGUGAGUAACGCGUAAAGAACUUGCCUCACAGCUAGGGACAACAUUUGGAAACGAAUGCUAAUACCAGAUAUGAUGAUUUUAGGGCAUCCUAGAAUUAUGAAAGCUAUAUGCGCUGUGAGAGAGCUUUGCGUCCCAUUAGCUAGUUGGAGAGGUAACGGCUCACGAGGGCGAUGAUGGGUAGCCGGCCUGAGAGGGUGAACGGCAAAAAGGGAACGGAGACACGGCCCGUACCCCUACGGGAGCAAGCAGUGGGAAAUAUUGGACAAUGGACCAAGAGUCUGAUCCAGCCAUUCUGUGUGGACGAUGGAGUUUUUCGGAAUGUACAGUGCUUUCAGUUGGGAAGAAAAAAAUGACGGUACCAACAGAAGAAGCGACGGCUAACUACGUG
rnacentral:rRNA from 1 species